GACGAACGCUGGCGGCGUGCUUAACACAUGCAAGUCGAACGGAAAGGCCCGGCUUUUGUGGGGUGCUCGAGUGGCGAACGGGUGAGUAACACGUGAGUAACCUGCCCUUGACUUUGGGAUAACUUCAGGGAACUGGGGCUAAUACCGGAUAGGAGCUCCUGCUGCAUGGUGGGGGUGGGAAAGUUACGGCGGUUGGGACGGGUCUCGCGGCUCUUAAGCUGGGUGGUGGGGUAGUGGCGUACCAAGGCUUUGAAGGGUAGCCGGCCUGAGAGGGUGACCGGCCACAUUGGGACUGAGAUACGGGCCAGACUCCUACGGGAGGCAGCAGUGGGGAAUAUUGCACGAUGGGCGGAAGCCUGAUGCAGCAACGCCGCGUGCGGGAUGACGGCCUUCGGGUUGUAAACCGCUUUCGCCUGUGACGAAGCGUGAGUGACGGUAAUGGGUAAAGAAGCACCGGCUAACUACGUG
rnacentral:rRNA from 1 species